rnacentral:rRNA from 1 species
AUAUCAAUAAGCGGAGGAAAAGAAACCAACAGGGAUUGCCUUAGUAACGGCGAGUGAAGCGGCAAAAGCUCAAAUUUGAAAUCUGGCAGUAAUGUCCGAGUUGUAAUUUGAAGAAGGUAACUUUGGUGAUAGCUCUUGCAUAUGUUCCUUGGAACAGGACGUCAUAGAGGGUGAGAAUCCCGUAUAUGGUGAGAUGACAUAUUACUAUGUAAAGUGCCUUCGAAGAGUCGAGUUGUUUGGGAAUGCAGCUCUAAGUGGGUGGUAAAUUCCAUCUAAAGCUAAAUAUUGGCGAGAGACCGAUAGCGAACAAGUACAGUGAUGGAAAGAUGAAAAGAACUUUGAAAAGAGAGUGAAAAAGUACGUGAAAUUGUUGAAAGGGAAGGGCUUGAAAUCAGUCGCGUCUACUUGGACUCAGCCUUACCUCGGUUUGGUGCAUUUCCUUGUGGACGGGCCAGUGUCCAUGUUGAUUGCUGGAAAAGGUUCAGGGGAAUGUGGCUCUUUUAGAGUGUUAUAGCCUCUGUUCAUAUACAGUAGUUGAUAUGGAGUGAUACAGCAUGCUUCGGCGGUGCUUGUACUGGCAUAAUGGCUUUAAACGA